rnacentral:lncRNA from 1 species
GGAAGGCAGCAGUUGAUUUUCUGUCCCUUAUGUUCCAUCUAGGCUACACACCCUUGGGGCAGGUAGCAGUCACACCCAGGGAGGGCCUUCCCAUUAUCCACACCCAGAACCAUGCCAGACUGAUCAGUGGACUCAUUUAGUAAUCACACACCCCUGAUCCCAGCAUCACACACGCUAGAUCCAGCCACCUCUGAAAAGCCCCACCUAUGACCCCAUGAGGCUUUAGGGGACAUCUAGACACAAGUCAUAACACCGUGAGGUCCCUGAAGAUCACACUUAGGAUUCUGUAUUAUGGCCAUGUGUGACAUGACACCUGGGUCCUCCUUUCUGUCGGUACCUGGUGGAUCUGGGCCAGGAGGUUACAGCUUUAUCAAAUCAUCUGGGAGCUUUCUGCUUCCCUGGAGCCCGAGGGCCAGGCAUGGGGCUCUGCCCUGGUCCCAGCCUGGCCCUCACUGGUGGUCUUCCGCACCCAGUGGCUGCCUCUGUGUCUUGAUGGCUUUUGUUUUCCUCCAUGAGCCAGUCUGCCCAGGAGUCGUCGGCCUCCUCAAUUUGCAGCUGCUUUGCAGGGUCUUGCUGGCCUGGAAAGUGAAACCCUUCCUCCUCAGCCUCCUGCGCAGCCCAGCUAUGGAAUUCCAAGACAUAAUUCCAUUUUGUCCUCCGCUCCCAACUGAGACCUCAAUGAUCCGGUGAUGCUGUGAUUCUCCAGGACAGGAAACAUCCUGGGAGCUGCAAACAUCCUGGGAGAACAAACAUCUACUCAGUUCCUCCUUGAUCUUGGACUGUUACACCUUGUUUACCCAGGAUGUACUGAACUCUCUGCGAGUCAUUUGUUACAUUUGUUUCUCCCGAUGUACUGAGUACUGAAUAAAAGGUGCAGUAAGCUGGGGGCUUUCGUCUUUGCCCCCCAGAGCAGCACUGAUCAGACCCAAAGCUCAGCUUCUUCUCAGUCUCAUUUUUCUACCUUUUCUGUAAUUUGCCUUGUGCUGCUGUGGCUCGCAGGAGACUAGGACUUAACUGCAGAGGUUCUGGUAACGUCCCCUUUCCCUGUUCUCUACAACAGUGCUAUCACAUUAUCCUCUCAAUUGUAGGAUUACAGGUUGUGGCAUUUUAUCUAUAGUUUCAAGUGUUAUACAACGAAUCUGUAUUACUUGUAAAGCAAAACUAUAAGUGUGAAAAAGAAAAUCAUCUCUAGCUUUUUCAAAAGCAGAUUAUUUUGGCAUUUCCCCAGAACGGCUGUGUCUCAGCAUGGCACUGUGGGCCAUGAAGGGAUGCUCAGCAUCUGCACAGGGUCGUUCCUUGACUUCCUCUAAUACGGUGGACUGCGUUGUUUUUCUUUCUUUCUUUUUUUUUUUUGGUACCGGGGAUUGGACUGCAUUUUUAAGAAGUUAUUGAGAAUGUAAUUGAGUUUCUUCUAGCUUCUCAUCCCUUCAGGGCUGCUGCCAACCUGGGAAUGUCCUGUCAGCUCGUUUGUGUAUCCUUGUGUCCUUCAGUGAGCCCUCCACUCACCCUAUGUGCAUUCUUCUAGGGACAUGAUAUUUCAACUCAAAAGGCAGCUUUUAAAGGGGAUAUAUUUACUCUGUGCUGCCACUAUGGAAAUCAGUACAGAGGUUCCACAAAAAACUAAAAACAGAGGGGCUGGAGAUUUAGCUCAGUGGUUCCGCCGCCUGC